rnacentral:rRNA from 1 species
UGAGGAACAUGACCUUCGGCGGGGGAUAGCCGGCCCAACGGCCGGGUAAUACCGCGUACGACCAUUUGGGGACAUCCCCGAGUGGUGAAAGCAGCAAUGCGCCGAUGGAGUGCCUCGCGGCCUAUCAGCUAGUUGGUGGGGUAACGCUCACCAAGGCAACGACGGGUANCUGGUCUGAGAGGAUGGCCAGCCACAUUGGGACUGAGACACCGGCCCAGACCUCCGUACGGGGAGG